rnacentral:rRNA from 1 species
ACGGGUGAGUAACGCGUGAGUAACCUGCCUUACACAAGGGGAUAGCCGUUGGAAACGACGAAUAAUACCCUAUGACAUAAACUCCUCGCAUGAGGAGCUUAUCAAAGAUUUAUCGGUGUAAGAUGGACUCGCGUCUGAUUAGCUAGUUGGUGAGGUAACGGCCCACCAAGGCGACGAUCAGUAGCCGGCCUGAGAGAGUGUACGGCCACAUUGGGACUGAGACACGGCCCAGACUCCUACGGGAGGCAGCAGCA